rnacentral:tRNA from 1 species
GCGCCUAUAGCUCAGGGGAUAGAGCGCCGGUCUCCGGAUGCGCAGGUUCGAAUCCUGCUAGGCGCACCA